GGACUGCACACCUAGCAAAUGCACAGGAAGCCUUUGCGGGAAGGUAGAUGGCUCCAGGCAGCAGACCCGGAGGAAGGCUCCAGUCAUGAUUAAGCCAGAGGCAAACUGGAGGAAAGAAGCGCAGGAAUGCUAUUCAGAGAAGCAUCUGAGUCAACAGCCUUCUAAGCAUGCCACUCAGCCUCCUCUUUCUCUUCUGUGGUUUAUGAUAACUUGCUUUCUACAUGCCAGAUACAUGGUCAGCAAAACGAAUCAAUGAAACAUGAAAACUCCCAGCUGAGAUGGGCCCUCUUGUGUACGUCUAGCCACUAUGCACAGGAUGGGAAUGUGGUCCCAGAGAAAUCUGGUAGAUAAAUUUGCCAUAUUUUGUGACGCCCAUUCUCAGCGAUGGGCACUGUUCAGCUCCAAAAAACAGAAAUGAAGAAAGAAGAGGAAAGCUACUUCAUACUAAAAAUGUCCAUUUUUAAGACAAAGCAACUUGUAAAUAUCAACACGGGACCACACUGUUGCCUUCAUGGGGCAGCACUCAACAAGAACUGGGACAAUCGAAGAGCAAGUAUUUAUGGGGACCCUGUUGCUGCUUUAGAUUCUGAUGUAAUUGAAGAGGAUAAGAGACCCUUCAAUGAAUCCCAGAAAAAUCACUAAUCUUCUAUCU